GGGGGCGACAGCAGAGUGAAGGUCAAGCUGAAGACUUUACCAGACAAGCUGAGAGGAGGUGCAUGGCCGUCGCCAGCUCGUGCCGUGAGGUGUCCUGUUAAGUCAGGUAACGAGCGAGAUCCCUGCCUCUAGUUGCUACCAUUAUUCUCAGGAGUAGUGGAGCUAAUUAGAGGGACCGCCGUCGCUGAGACGGAGGAAGGUGGGGGCUACGGCAGGUCAGUAUGCCCCGAAACCCUCGGGCCACACGCGGGCUGCAAUGGUAAGGACAAUGAGUUUCGAUUCCGAAAGGAGGAGGCAAUCUCUAAACCUUACCACAGUUAUGAUUGAGGGCUGAAACUCGCCCUCAUGAAUAUGGAAUCCCUAGUAACCGCGUGUCACUAUCGCGCGGUGAAUACGUCCCUGCUCCUUGCACACACCGCCC
rnacentral:rRNA from 1 species